rnacentral:lncRNA from 1 species
GUAACCUCGCAUUUUUAAAGCUGUGAGUGGAAUCGUGGAUGUGAUGUGAUCGUCUAUUUUUGUUAUCUCUAUCCGUUGAAUGAUUGAAAGGUGCAGUGUGGAACAUCAAGUCUACUUCCAGUGCCCCAAAUGAAGAAAUCCAUAUAAUAAUCCAAAAUUGGUUUUGAUUCUCCAAAGACCAUGAUGGAGGUCGAGAAAAACGGAGAAAUGAUCCAGCAACCAAUCACAUGUAACUAGGCCAAGUGCCAAUAAGUAAAUUUUUAGAGAAUCUCAAACAUCCAUAAUCUUUUUUGUAAUAAUUUUACAAUAUACAAACUUUUCAUGCA